UCGAGGAUCUUCGGCAAUGGGCGAAAGCCUGACCGAGCGACGCCGCGUGCGGGAUGAAGGCCUUCGGGUUGUAAACCGCUUUCGGAGGGGAGGAAAUACAAGGGGGAUCACCCCUUUGUUUGACCUAGCCUCGGAAGAAGGACGGGCUAAGUUCGUGCCAGCAGCCGCGGUAAUACGAACCGUCCAAACGUUAUUCGGAAUUACUGGGCUUAAAGGGUGCGUAGGCGGCCCGAUAAGUUGGGUGUGAAAUCCCUCGGCUUAACCGAGGAAUUGCGCCCAAGACUGUCGGGCUUGAGUGAGAUAGAGGUGAGCGGAACUUAGGGUGGAGCGGUGAAAUGCGUUGAUAUCCUAAGGAACACCGGUGGCGAAAGCGGCUCACUGGGUCUUGUCUGACGCUGAGGCACGAAAGCUAGGGGAGCGAACG
rnacentral:rRNA from 1 species